GCAUGUGAGAGUGAUCUGGCUGUGACAUUUAUUACCCCAUUGAUGAACAGGGGUGAUUCAGCUGAUCUGGAUGGCUGGAUGGAUAUCCCCUUCCCCCUUCACUGCCCCAUGUGUGUCCCUCCCGAAGCCGUGCUCUGGGUAGAAGAGGACGACCAUUCGCAAUAGAGGGUGACUAUUUCCUCUGCUAGGCUGCACUCCCUGCUAGAACAAGCUCUCAAGGUCCAUGAGCCACACCCAGAGCUAUGCUAAACCAGUGCACUAAGCCAGUUAUCU
rnacentral:snRNA from 1 species